rnacentral:tRNA from 1 species
CGCUCGCGGUCGGGUUGUCGAUCUGCGCCUACGGGGUGCUGCUCUCGCGUCGGAUCGGCGCGCACCGGCGCGGCUCCGUCGCGGGCGG